AAGUCGUAACAAGGUUUCCGUAGGUGUACCUGCGGAAGGAUCAUUAACACGUAUCCAAAUGUAAAAAACCCGCCCCCGUGAACAUUCAAUCCUGCUCUUGUAACCCGCGUAGUUCGCAAUCUCUGGUAAAUCAUAGCCCGGAAAGUAGUUUGAUUCAGAGACCUCUGGCUACGCGAGAACAUUGGAACAGUUACAAUCGAGCGGGAGUUUCAUAGGCAUUGUUUCCCCAAGCAGUUAGUUUCUGAAAGUGUCACUGAUUGUGCAAGGAUAGCGCUUCAACGAUUCCUGUAGACCGUACACUAUGGCAGGAGCUAUGCCAAAGGGUCCCCAUGCCCCCUUAUAACCCCACAGUUUAAUGUGAAGCUCAAUGUAAUAUAUUGGGUAAAAAAACCGAACAACUGUUAACAAUGGAUAUCUUGGUUCUC
rnacentral:misc_RNA from 1 species